rnacentral:rRNA from 1 species
UACGAAGGGGGCUAGCGUUGCUCGGAAUCACUGGGCGUAAAGGGUGCGUAGGCGGGUCUUUAAGUCAGGGGUGAAAUCCUGGAGCUCAACUCCAGAACUGCCUUUGAUACUGAAGAUCUUGAGUUCGGGAGAGGUGAGUGGAACUGCGAGUGUAGAGGUGAAAUUCGUAGAUAUUCGCAAGAACACCAGUGGCGAAGGCGGCCAUCUGGACCGCAACUGACGCUGAGGCGCGAAAGCGUGGGGAGCAAACAGG